CGAUCACUGAAAUGUUUCACUGCAUGACUCGAAGCUUCGUGGUGUUGCAGUGAUGUGUGGUUCGAUGACUCACAAGGCCUCAGUCAGAGCUGUGUUCAGACUCACUGUAAGGCUACUACGCAGUUUCCGUGGAGGAGUCCCAGAGUCACGUAGCCGCCCCAUCACCCAGCAGCAGCAAGGUGUGGCCCACUCCACCUGAUGCCCCUUCCUCCCCAUCACCACUCCUCCCCACACUCCCUGUAAUCCCUCUCACAGUAAAGGGAAGACCAAAAAUCUCCAUCCCUCUCCUAUUGGAAUUUCCCUAUUGCUGCUGCUGCUGCUCCUGCUCCUGCUCCCCCAAGACUGUGAUACUGCUGAACCAUUUAUCCUAAUAAAUUUGUUCCUUGUGUUUGUUUCUUAUGUGUCAGACUUGUGGUCUUGAAGUGUUGCAAGUCACAAGCUUGUAAUGUUCAAGAGUUCUAAGGACUCCCAACCAUAGU